CGAUGUAGCAAUACAUUGGUGGCGACCGGCGCACGGGUGAGUAACGCGUAUGCAACCUACCUAUCAGAGGGGAAUAACCCGGCGAAAGUCGGACUAAUACCGCAUAAAACAGGGGUUCCACAUGGAAAUAUUUGUUAAAGAAUUAUCGCUGAUAGAUGGGCAUGCGUUCCAUUAGAUAGUUGGUGAGGUAACGGCUCACCAAGUCCACGAUGGAUAGGGGUUCUGAGAGGAAGGUCCCCCACACUGGUACUGAGACACGGACCAGACUCCUACGGGAGGCAGCAGUGAGGAAUAUUGGUCAAUGGGCGAGAGCCUGAACCAGCCAAGUCGCGUGAAGGAUGAAGGAUCUAUGGUUUGUAAACUUCUUUUAUAUGGGAAUAAAGUGAGGAACGUGUUCCUUUUUGUAUGUACCAUAUGAAUAAGCAUCGGCUAACUCCGUGCCAGCAGCCGCGGUAAUACGGAGGAUGCGAGCGUUAUCCGGAUUUAUUGGGUUUAAAGGGUGCGUAGGUGGUUAAUUAAGUCAGCGGUGAAAGUUUGUGGCUCAACCAUAAAAUUGCCGUUGAAACUGGUUGACUUGAGUAUAUUUGAGGUAGGCGGAAUGCGUGGUGUAGCGGUGAAAUGCAUAGAUAUCACGCAGAACUCCGAUUGCGAAGGCAGCUUACUAAACUAUAACUGACACUGAAGCACGAAAGCGUGGGGAUCAAACAGGAUUAGAUACCCUGGUAGUCCACGCAGUAAACGAUGAUUACUAGCUGUUUGCGAUACACAGUAAGCGGCACAGCGAAAGCGUUAAGUAAUCCACCUGGGGAGUACGCCGGCAACGGUGAAACUCAAAGGAAUUGACGGGGGCCCGCACAAGCGGAG
rnacentral:rRNA from 1 species